GCUAGAUAGCUCAGGUGGUUAGAGUGUGGUGCUGAGAAUGCCAAGGUUGCAGGUCCAAUCCCCAUAAGGGACAGCUGCA